rnacentral:rRNA from 1 species
GGGGUAUGCUUCUUCGGGAGCAGAGACCGGCGCACGGGUGCGUAACGCGUAUGCAAUCUACCUUUCACAGAGGGAUAGCCCAGAGAAAUUUGGAUUAAUACCUCAUAGUAUAGCAGUUUCGCAUGAAACCACUAUUAAAGUCACAACGGUGAAAGAUGAGCAUGCGUCCCAUUAGCUAGUUGGUAAGGUAACGGCUUACCAAGGCAACGAUGGGUAGGGGUCCUGAGAGGGAGAUCCCCCACACUGGUACUGAGACACGGACCAGACUCCUACGGGAGGCAGCAGUGAGGAAUAUUGGACAAUGGGCGCAAGCCUGAUCCAGCCAUGCCGCGUGCAGGAUGACGGUCCUAUGGAUUGUAAACUGCUUUUAUACGAGAAGAAACCCUCCGACGUGUCGGAGCUUGACGGUAUCGUAAGAAUAAGGAUCGGCUAACUCCGUGCCAGCAGCCGCGGUAAUACGGAGGAUCCAAGCGUUAUCCGGAAUCAUUGGGUUUAAAGGGUCCGUAGGCGGUCAGGUAAGUCAGUGGUGAAAGCCCAUCGCUCAACGGUGGAACGGCCAUUGAUACUGUCUGACUUGAAUUAUUAGGAAGUAACUAGAAUAUGUAGUGUAGCGGUGAAAUGCUUAGAGAUUACAUGGAAUACCAAUUGCGAAGGCAGGUUACUACUAAUGGAUUGACGCUGAUGGACG